GUACUUGUACUGAUUGAGAUUUUAACACGAAGUGAGUGGCGAACGGGUGAGUAACACGUGGGUAACCUGCCCAGAAGUAGGGGAUAACACCUGGAAACAGAUGCUAAUACCGUAUAACAGAGAAAACCGCAUGGUUUUCUUUUAAAAGAUGGCUCUGCUAUCACUUUUGGAUGGACCCGCGGCGUAUUAGCUAGUUGGUGAGGUAAAGGCUCACCAAGGCAGUGAUACGUAGCCGACCUGAGAGGGUAAUCGGCCACAUUGGGACUGAGACACGGCCCAGACUCCUACGGGAGGCAGCAGUAGGGAAUCUUCCACAAUGGACGCAAGUCUGAUGGAGCAACGCCGCGUGAGUGAAGAAGGGUUUCGGCUCGUAAAGCUCUGUUGUUAAAGAAGAACGUGGGUAAGAGUAACUGUUUACCCAGUGACGGUAUUUAACCAGAAAGCCACGGCUAACUACGUGCCAGCAGCCGCGGUAAUACGUAGGUGGCAAGCGUUAUCCGGAUUUAUUGGGCGUAAAGCGAGCGCAGGCGGUCUUUUAAGUCUAAUGUGAAAGCCUUCGGCUCAACCGAAGAAGUGCAUUGGAAACUGGGAGACUUGAGUGCAGAAGAGGACAGUGGAACUCCAUGUGUAGCGGUGAAAUGCGUAGAUAUAUGGAAGAACACCAGUGGCGAAGGCGGCUGUCUGGUCUGCAACUGACGCUGAGGCUCGAAAGCAUGGGUAGCGAACAGGAUUAGAUACCCUGGUAGUCCAUGCCGUAAACGAUGAUUACUAAGUGUUGGAGGGUUUCCGCCCUUCAGUGCUGCAGCUAACGCAUUAAGUAAUCCGCCUGGGGAGUACGACCGCAAGGUUGAAACUCAAAAGAAUUGACGGGGGCCCGCACAAGCGGUGGAGCAUGUGGUUUAAUUCGAAGCUACGCGAAGAACCUUACCAGGUCUUGACAUCUUCUGACAGUCUAAGAGAUUAGAGGUUCCCUUCGGGGACAGAAUGACAGGUGGUGCAUGGUUGUCGUCAGCUCGUGUCGUGAGAUGUUGGGUUAAGUCCCGCAACGAGCGCAACCCUUAUUACUAGUUGCCAGCAUUAAGUUGGGCACUCUAGUGAGACUGCCGGUGACAAACCGGAGGAAGGUGGGGACGACGUCAAAUCAUCAUGCCCCUUAUGACCUGGGCUACACACGUGCUACAAUGGAUGGUACAACGAGUCGCGAGACCGCGAGGUUAAGCUAAUCUCUUAAAACCAUUCUCAGUUCGGACUGUAGGCUGCAACUCGCCUACACGAAGUCGGAAUCGCUAGUAAUCGCGG
rnacentral:rRNA from 1 species